rnacentral:rRNA from 1 species
CUUGUUCUCCAUCGCCCUCUGUGGAAACGACUCGUCGAUCGGAGCGAACACGAACUCGGCAUAUUUCCGGAUAUUCGACCGGUACUUCAGCUUGUCUCCGGCAGGCAUUAUGUGGUCGGUCGUGACCUUGUCCCCGACCUUGAUGGUGACGACACCUUCGAUCUCCGGGCCGAGCGGUUCGUUCUCAGGCGGGUCUCCUAUGUUUGGACCCCUUUCUAUCUCGACCCCUGCUCUUUUUUCCGACGGAGGAAUUAUCAUCGAGUCGUCUAUUGCAUAGAGAGAGGGAGGCUCCACGUCGGGGUAUUCGAUCCCGAGGGUCCGCGGGU